rnacentral:lncRNA from 1 species
UAGAGUGAGAGAGGGAGGGAGAGAGAGAGAGAGAAUUUUUAAUAUUAAUUUUUAGUUCUUGGCGGACACAACAUCUUUGUGUGCAUGUGGUGCUGAGGAUGGAACCCGGGCCGCACGCAUGCCAGGGGAGCGCGCUGCCGCUUGAGCCACACCCCCAGCCCCUUGGGGUGGCUUUGAAGGGGUCAGAGUGAGGUGUGUGUGUCUCAUGUAAACCUUUCAUCCUGGUGGCAGGGUCUGGAAACCCAGUCACAUGUUGCUGGGAGCAUUGGACCCUGCUGUCUUCUGUGCUCCUGUGCUUCUGAGCUGAUGUGGAAGCCACCAAGUUCCAGAAUUUUCUGUGCUGGGUUUGGUGGUUGCAUGGUGGUGGGCAUAUGAGCAACUGCCUCCCUUGCUGUCCAGGAACCCAGGCCUCUGGGUCCCUGUCCUUUCCUUCACUGAGGCCCUGUGCUGUCCUGGAGAACUGUGUUAAGGGUGAAAUCCUAUGAGGAGAAUUUCUUUUUUUUUUUUGGUGCUGGGGAUUGAACUCGGGGCACUCGCCCACUGAGCCACAUCCGCAGCCCUAUUUUGUAUUUUAUUUAGAGACAGGGUCUCACUGAGUUGCUUAGCACCUUGCUUUUGCUGAGGCUGGCUUUGAACUCAGGAUCCUCCUGUCUCAGCCCCCUGAGCUGCUGGGAUUAUAGGCAUGCACCACCGUACCUGUCACCUGAAGAGAAUUUCAGAAUCUUUUCCCAAUGAAUGCAGUUUGAGUCCUCUAAGUAAAUGCGAUAUUUUGAGAUCUUAGCCGUUGGGAUCGUUAUUAUCACUCCUUGGUUUCUGUGGUUGGGGGAAGAACAGAACCCAGUAGCACUAGUAGACAGUGUGGUGCUUCCAGGUGUGAGCUGUUAAAAUAUUAAAUGUGUGUGGGUUUAGUUCCCUGUGGUGGGGCCACAGGGGCCCCAUUGCUGCUGGUGUUGGUGCUGUGCACAGUGAUUAGCUCUGUCACCUGGCCAGGAGGUCUCUGUCCUAACUGGUCAGACCGCUUCCCAGUCACACUGUGCACAAGAAGCCAAGACUGGGUUGCAAAGGCCAGGACUGACCCUGCUGGCUUGGCGUGUGGCCUCAGGCUAGAGAUGGCCCUGCUUUCCCGAGGCCCGGGACUCCUCUCCUUCCAGGGGGAUGCGCAGCAGCUGGUGGAGCUCCUGCCCUCGCCUGCUCCAGGCUGCUGCACUGGCCCCUGCUCUCUCCUGGCCAGCCUGCCAUCCCCACUGCCUCUGCCGCAGGGCCAGCCUGUUUCUAGCCCUCACCUGGCCCUCUGCACCCCCUGGCUCCAAGUGUGGGUGGCGACUGGACUUCCUGGUGCGACUCCCAUGUAGAGCAGGACAUCAAGCAUCCAUACCACCCCUUGGCUGGACGCAGCUUACUUUGAAGAGUCCAGAGGAGCUUUUUGACACUGAUGAGUGUAAAUAUGAAUAGAAGACUAGGUGAACAUGCAUGCUCACGCGUGCACACAGAGCACAGUGUUGGUCACUGCCACGCACCCUUGGACUUUGGCUUUGCCUGACUUCUGUGUGGGCAGAGGCCAGUUCAUGGCUCUGGGUGGGUCGUACUGCUUGCCUGUUCCUGCCAUGGUGGUGCUGGACUUGCCCUCUCCUUGGGCCUCUGCUUUUUUUGCUCGCUUAUAAUAGAGCCCAUUGAGUGGCCUGCACUUUGAACAGCCUUGGCUGCGUGGAGUAAGUCCCCGGAGGUCCUGGUAGGGGAAGACACUUGGGUUGACUUGGUCAGCUAACAGGGUCCUUGGGCCUCUCGUGGUUUUGGAAGGCAUUUAACUUGUUAUCACAAAAUGGCUUGCCUCGUGUUUUGCCUCCAAACUGGCAUGAGAGCCAGGAGCUCUUCUCUCACUAAGGCCUUGGCAUGGCUGCUCCUGUGUGCAUUCAGUGUCUGGGCUAUGGGCCAGAACUGACUGCAGCCUCCUCCACUGAGGUCUGCACAAACAGUCCUGACCGGUCGCACCCUCCUGUUGCCCUGCCCGCGUGUUCCCUGCCCCUGCUUCCCCGCCCCCAGCAGACCUGCAGUAAGUAGGUUUGUUGUGCUGGCUCCUGGUCAUUUUGUCACACACAGUGUGUGUGUGUUUCUGCAAGGUGAAGAGGAAACGUCGGGUUUGGGGUCAGUACCACGAACUGACUUUUGUGCAUACAUUCUCUUUUUAUCCCAGUUAUGUUGUAAUGCUCAAGUCAACUUGGUGGUCGGCUUCCUUUUGUAACUUUGAUUCUAAAGUUUAAUAGCAAUUAUAGGAAAUUCAGAGUGAGGAGGUUGGUUUGGUUUUUCUGUAUAAUUCUAGGAGCCAGUACCAAAGGAAGCAUUUGCUUUCUCUUUGUGCUUUCUCUUCAGCAAGUCAGUCUUCACUUGUUAGGAUCUGUCACCAUUAUUGUUUCUGGUAAGUUUUCAGUUUCAGAGUCCACUGUGGUUUGACUUCAGGAAGGGUCCGGCAGCUUUGGCCUGCGGAGAACCCGUUCCUCGGCCUCAGUACAUGUUCAUGUGAAACUCAGCCAGCCAACAUUGCUUUCAGGCGUUCUGUUUCCAGUUGAGUGAGUGCAUUUCUAAUUCAAGUCUGUUUUCUUUCAGGUUUGUUUAAAGAACAAAACCCAUAUGAGAAGUUUUAGGACGACUGCGUAUGUGUCCGAAAGAUUAGGCGGUCCUGGGCCCUCCUGCAGGCUCAUGCUGCUCAGCACAGGUCAGGAGCCCGCUGCACCCUGGGCUAGCCUCCAGCAGAGUCCUGGAAGCUGCCCUGAGAGGACAAUCCUGCUCUUGCCCUGUCGGCUGUGGCCUUCUGUCCCUCCUGCCUCUGUUCUGUAUUUAGCUGCUCAAGACAUUAAUCUCGCUGGGCCCUUGCUGUUUUCCGUUCACUGUCGUCUGCCUGUCUUGGUCUACAAGCUGAUGACCAGGUGAGCAGUCCACAGUCCGAUGUGCCAGCAGUUCUGCUGCAGCAGCAGAGGUCCCGAGGGCCUCUCUCCACCAGCAAGCUUCACACAGUGAUGGGGACAGUCACCUUCACUGUGUCAUGGGCGAUCUGAGCAAGCCAUUCUCAUUUCCCAAAAAAAAUCCAUGGGUGGCACUUCUGUGUGCCCAUCUCUUUGAACCUUGGUGUGUCUUAAUGCAGGUAGCUUUUUGUAGAAAAUAGUGUCCCAUACACAGUUUGAUAAGGAUCUCUUUCCUCACUGCAACUAUGUCGAAUAGCACUAAAGAAGAGUUAAAAUCACCUUAAUUAAAAAUAAUAAUUCUUGGAUGCCAUCACCAAAAUAUUCCCACCCCCAGAUAUUCUUGUAAAAGAUCAGACCCUUAUGAGAUGGUAGUUUUAAAUUUACAUCUAUUAAAGACCCGAGAGUCUUUCCCCAUGGAAACACAAAUUGCCCUCUGGCUGGAGUGGGUGCUCUGGUGCCCACCUCACCUUCCCUCCAGCUCCACCAGCACCUGGGCCGUCAUAGGUCCUUGGGAAUAUUCUCGUAAGCCUUGGACUUCUGCCUGCCUGUCAGGCUAUCUGAGAGGUGGUCAUUUUGGGUCAUGGGCCUGGCACGUUUACCCCAAGAAGGGAGAAGGUCAUCCAUAGGCCAGCCCCUCUUCAAGGCCCAGUAUGCAGGACACCCGUGUGUUGGGGCCUGCCGAAGGUCCUCCACACACUGCCACAGGUAGGCUGCCCACAGCAGGCCACCUACUCCAGCUGCACUUCAGCUUGGGCUGUGGGAGGGUUUCUGUCUGAGGCGGCGACUGUAAGUUAUCAGAGAAGCUCCAGGUGCCCCAGGCUGUGCAUUUCUUUAAAAUCAAGACACAUGAGUAGUGAGCAGAACGUUCUUGGUGGCACGGACAGCUAGAUGCUUUUCCUAAAAGAUACUAGACAAUACUUCCAGUUGCCAGGUUGCUUUGAAUUUAAAAAAAAAAAAUUCUCCCCGGGAACGUAGGUUGCCAGCACCAGUGGCAAGCAACGUGUUCUGUCCUCACGCUCCUGAUGAUGCUGUGGGCGGCAUCCGUGACUGUGGCCCUCGUGACGGGCAGGUCGCCUGGCAGUGGCUCUGCCAAUUCUUACACUAAGGAUGUGGCCCUUGACAAAUGCUUCAGUCUUAUUUUUCUGACUUCUUGGGAAUUGGAUAGUAAUUUUUAAAGUAUUAUGAAACAUUCCUAAGUAUGUGAUGGCAGCUGUCAUAAUAGGCUUUAAUGAACUUUGUAUUAACCUGAUAGUAUGUAUGUAAAAUCACAGUUUCUUUCAUUGAGGUUGCCACGUUAAAGUAGAGCAACCUGUUUUUAAAUACAGUGUAUUUGAUUCUCACAUCAGGUGACCUUAGGCUGGUCUUGGUUGAGCUUUUCUCUGAACUGAGGCUAAGGGAGCCGCACAACUGUGAGCUUGAGGAGACUGCCGUGUUCAGAGUGCCUUACUUUUAACCAGUUUCCAAUAAAAUGGUUCUGUGCCUGCUUUUGUUUACUAAACACAGUGUCCCUCUCUGGGUGGCGACUCCUCUGUGGCUGGGGGCAGGUGGAUCUGUCAGGUGAGGCUGAGCUUCUGGGCUAUCCUAUGAUGCCGUGAGCCGAUCCAAUGACACCAUGACCCCCAGGGCUGGACCAGGCUAUGUCCUGGAAUUGCCCCACCUGCCAGCGGCUUUCCUUCUGCUUCUGUGCGGGGCACAGAGGAAGCCGUCUUCCUUUGCAGUCUUUGAAAUGCCAUGGUGACAGGCACCUGGUCUAGAGGGCCUGAUUCUGGAGAGUGCCCGGAGACUGCCUCUGUAGGGCACUUUGGGGUGCAGCAGAGAUGGAAGAUAUCCAGGUGACAGCAAAUCUGCCCCUGCAGAGACAGCUGCUGAGGGCUGGGGAUGUAGCUCAGCAAACUUGGUGAAGUGCAGGGCCCUGGUUCAACCCCCAGACCACCAGGAGUCUCUGAGCCCCAGUGUGCACAACCAGAAGGUUGUGGGUUCCCUGGCCACUAAGAGCUGGCUGCCCAGCGCCCAGCUGCAGUGCAGGACAGCCAGGGAAGGGGCUCAGAACAGGAAUCCAGGGAGGUAGCUACAUGACCUUGGGGAAGAAAGGAGCUUGCUGGGCAGAGUGCCACCCGGGCUGUUUGUGUGGGAGGCCUUGGGAAGCAGAAGUGCCCGUGUCCCCGCCUUUGCAGGCAGGGCACUGAGGGAUGGUGAUCCCCAAAUGUCCUUUGCAUCCUGGUCCAGGGCCCUCAUACCUGGUCACUCCUGGUGCCACAGGGCCCCCGGUUUCUGUGACACAAGCAGACUGCUCUGGGUAAAUAAUGUUGGCAACAUUCACCAAAAGCUUUACCAAAGAAGGGCUGACGGGCGGGGCUGAUGGGUGGGUGUCAGCCUUCCAGGGAGGUGGGUGAGCUCCUGGGUCUGGCUGCUGCUGCUGCUGCAGCAGCAGCAGCAGCAGCUGCACAGGGCCUUGGUGGCAUGUUCCAGGAAGGUGGGACAGAUCCGUUCACAGUUGACCUGGGCCCUCAGACUUGGUGAUCAUGUGGAAAUGCGGAGCAGAGGUGACCUGCAGCCUCCGCAAACCUCACACCUCUGUUUGCAGAGCAGAGGCCCCUCACAGCCCUCAGCCCACACUCUACCAGAUCACCGUGGUCACCACUGAGCCUCACUGUCACACCCUGUGCUGCAGGGUGGCACUGAAAAGACAAACCCCAUUUUGCAGUGAAGAGUCAGCUGCACAGAAUGCUGGUCUGGGUUCUAUCCCAAGGAGCAUUAGCGCAGGGAAGAGCAGGAGGGGCUCCCACUGAGCUCAGGUGGGGCCUGAGUCUGGCGCUCAUCCCAGCUGUUCUCUUGCUCCCUCCCAGGGCUCAAGAUAGGCACAGGUUCCAGCAGGGGAAAGGUGUCCCGCACACAGCCAGUUGGGAGGCUCUGAGCUGUGACUUGAUGGGAUUCUUUCACUGGAGGCACCUGGGUUCCAGGAGAUGUUCAGCCAGGAAGAAGAACUUUCAUAAACUAGGACUUAGGAGCAGUGUGCUGAGCUCCCAGGGCCCCGUGCUCUCUGCCCAGGUCUUCCUUUAAAGUCUCAGGGCAUAGUCUGUCACAGGAACUGCCUUGGCCUGGCCCUCAACCGGGGCCCUUGCAGGUCUCAGAGGCACUGACCCCAGGUGCCUGCCCACCAACCUCAGCACUGAGCUCAGUGCUCAGCCUUUCUCUGCAUUUCAUCCUGGCCCAUGCUCUUGACUCCCACCCUCCAACCUUGGGGUACCCACCUUCCCCAAAGAAAGACCUCCAAGACAUUGUCCUGGGUUCUGCUUCCCAGGAACCCCUGGAAGUCAUCACUUAUGGCCAUCUGGGUCUAGGAAUGUGAUUAGCCAAGUUGCAGCAGGAGGUAGAGUUCCCUCAUGACUAAGUUCAUGUGUCACCUUAGUGGGUUCAGAGAUGUCCUUGUACCUGAUGAGGCACUGUUUGUGGGUGUCUCUGCGGUGUCCCCAUGAGGUUAGCAUUGGACGACCAAGUGAACCCAGGCAGAGAAGAGAGAAUUUGCCUUCCCUCUGCAGGUUGCUUGAGCUGGGGCCUGGCCUUAUGCAUGAUUGUGUAAGACUCCCUAAUGACAGGUUUGCUGAAAUAUUUAAGAGUUUUGCAUGUCAUGCUGGGUAUGGUGGCACACACCUGUCAUCUCAGCUGCUUAGGAUGCUGAGACAGGAGGAUCAUCAAGUUCAAGGCCAGCCUGGGCAACUUAGUAAGACCCUGUAUCAAAAAAAAAAAAAAGGGAUGGAAUGUAGCUCAGUGGUAGAGUACCCCUGGGUUCAAUCCCCAGUACUGCCCAAAAUCUUUUUAUCUUUUUUUUCUGCCC